rnacentral:rRNA from 1 species
UACGGGGGGGGCAAGCGUUGUUCGGAAUUACUGGGCGUAAAGGGCUCGUAGGCGGCCCACUAAGUCCGACGUGAAAUCCCCAGGCUUAACUUGGGAACUGCGUCGGAUACUGGUGGGCUUGAAUCCGGGAGAGGGAUGCGGAAUUCCUGGUGUAGCGGUGAAAUGCGUAGAUAUCAGGAGGAACACCUGCGGUGUAGACGGCUUUCUGGACCAUUGUUGACGCUGAGACACGAAAGCGUGGGUAGCAAACAGG